rnacentral:rRNA from 1 species
UACGGGGGAGCAAGCGUUGUUCGGAUUUACUGGGCGUAAAUGGCGCGUAGGCGGCCAGCACAAGUCAGUUGUGAAAUCUCCGAGCUUAACUCGGAAAGGUCAACUGAUACUGUGCGGCUAGAGUGCGGAAGGGGCAACUGGAAUUCUUGGUGUAGCGGUGAAAUGCGUAGAUAUCAAGAGGAACACCUGCGGCGAAGGCGGGUUGCUGGGCCGACACUGACGCUGAGGCGCGAAAGCUAGGGGAGCGAACGGG